UAGUACCCCACAAGGUUGGCCCCCACACUGCCCCCUUAACCGCCCCGGGCUUGCCCCCAAACACCCUCUUAAUACCCCCUGCCACCUUAACCGACAAGGGCCACCCCCUUAACCGCCCCAAGCUGGCCCCCAAACACCCCCUUAACUGCCCUGGGCUGACCCCCAAAUGCCCACUUAAUACCCCCACCCUCUUAAGCGCCCUGGGCCACACCCUUAACCACCCAGGGCUAGGCCCCAAAUGCCCCCUUAAUACCCCUCCGCCUGGCCCCCAAAUGCCCCCUUAACCACCCUGGGCUGAUGCCCACCGUGCCCCUUUAGCCCCCACACUGCCCCCUUUACCCUCCCAAGCUAGCCAAAUGUCCCCUUAAUACUCCCCACUCCCUUAACCGUCCUGGAUUGGCCCCCAAACAUCCCCUUAACUGCCCCAGGCUGGCCCCCAAAUGCCCCUUUAAUACCCCCACACUGCCCCUUUAGCCCACACACUGCCCCCCUAGCCCUCCCAGGCUAGCCCCCAAAUGCCCCCUUAAUACCCGCUGCCCCCAAAAUGCUCCCUUAAUACCCCUUGCUACUCCUAGCCCCCACACUGCUCCCUUUGCCCCCACUGCUCCCUUAACUACCCUGGGCUGGUCCCCAAAUAUCCCCUGAAUUGCCUCGGGCUGGCCCCCAAAGCGCCCUUAAUAUUCCCACACUUCCCCCUUAACCACCCUGGACUAGCCCCCAAACAUUCCCUUAAUCCCGCUCCACCACUGCCUUAUCUACCCAGGCUAGCCCCCAAACGCCACUUUAACCCUCCUACCUGCCGCCCCCUUAACCCUCCCGGGCUAGUCCCCAAAUGCCCCCUUAACCCACCUCUGCCAUCCCCUUAACCACACUGAGCUAGCCCCCCAAAACCCUUACCCCCCACACCGUCCCCUUAUUCGCCCUGGACUAGCCCCCAAAUGCCCCUUUAACCUCCCGCUGCUCCCUUAACCACCCAGGGCUAGCCCCCCAUGCCACUCCCUGAGCCACCCUCAAACACCUCCUUAAUCCCCAUGCUAACCCCCCUUAAUCCCUCUCUGGUACACAUUCUGUGCAACCCCCUUAAACUUUCCAUGCUAGCCCUCCCAAAACCCCUCAAACCUCCUAGGCUAGCCCCCUGUGCCAUGCCACCCCCUUAAUUUCUCUUAAAUCCCUGUGCCAGCCCCUCCACCAAAUGCCUAUGCCAACCCACUCCUCAGGCUUAACCACUCUCCUGCUAGUGUCAAAUCUCUCCCUAGCCCCCACCCCCAACCUAUUCCCUGCUGCCAGCACCAGGGCCGUAGCAACAAAGAACAUGGCCCCCUCCGAACAUAUGUCCGGGCAGGGCCCCUUACAUUUUUUUGCCACUUUUAGGGGACCCCCUUCCUUGCGGGGCCCCCUCCGGUCGGAGGGUACGGAGGGCGCUCGCUACGCCUCUGGCCAGCGCUUAACCUGUCCCUCUCCACUCUGCCAUGCCAAACACUCUCUACCAAAGAAAGCAUUCCGCUGCCACUGCCAAACCCCACCUGACCACCAAACUCCUCUUUAAUAGUGUACCAAACCACGUUCAGCUGCUGGUGCCAAGUCCUUCCUUACUCUCUUCUCCAAUCACUCGGCUGCCACUUCAGCCAUCCCCAUCUCUAGCCUGCCCCUUACCUUCUACUACAGGUUGAACCUCUCUAGUUGACCCUCUGGACCUGACGGGUGCCAAACCACGGGAGGUCAAAGCAGAGUGCCAGUGGAUGCAGGUCUCCAUAGGUGUAGUACCCCCAGGCUUUGUGCCCAGCAUGGUCCCUUGCCCAGGGGCCCCACUGCCACCCAGAGUCCUGGCUGCUGGCCCCCCACCUGGGGGCUCCAAUGCUGGCCCUAGGUCCUAGCUGCUGGCCACUCGCCUGGGGUCCCAGUCGCCAGCGCCAGGUCCUCCCUUUCCCUUCCGGAGAUUGAACACCAUGAAUCAGCUGUUCGCGGCACUCCGGAGGCACUGGGAGGGAGGAGGAGGAGUUGGUAAGUGCGGGGCUGCCGGCGUGCGAGUAGGGUGACCAGACAGCAAGUGUGAAAAAUCGGGACAGUAGGUGGGGGGUAAUAGGAGUCUAUGUAAGAAAAAGACCCCAAAACCAGGACCGUCCCUAUAAAAUCGGGACAUCUGGUCACCCUACGUGCGAGAGGCAUGGGGGGAGAGCUUGGUGCUGGUGGAUGCUCUGCACCCACUAAUUUUUCCCCAUGGGUGCUUCAGCCCCAGAGCAUCCAUGGAGUCGGCACCUAUUCCUGCCCACAGAUGUUGCCGGACCAGGGAGUGCCGGAUUAGAGAGGUUCAAUCUCUACUGUCUGCUUCCUCUCAAACUAACCCAUUUACUGCUACUGCUUGCAACCCCUUUCCUAACCAAUCCUCCUCCCACUAAACCACUCUGCUUCUGUGCAGUGACACUGAUCACUGGUUAGCAUUAGCCUUUCCUUUUUAUUGUCCACAAUUAUUUCUUCUCCUCUAUUUUUUCCUCCUUGUUUCUGUGUUGAACCCCCCAGGCCCUUGCUCUUUUUUUCCUUUGGUCAGUGUUGUUACACAUUGAGCUUGAAGUUUUAAAAUAACUCCCCUUGGGAGGAGGGAUGGGGGAAGCAACUGGAUUGCAUUUCGCAUUGUUGGCUUUCUUCCCAGGAGGAGAAGGUUUGGCAGUGUGUGUGUGUGUGUGUGUGUGCACGCGCGUGCGUGCGCACACACACACACACACCAAAUGCAAUUCUGCCUGAAUACGGAUCAGGCCAGGGGAAUUUAUCUUUCAAGUGAAGUACCUUCAGUAUCCCAUUUGUGUGUCGGACCUUCAGUGUGCCAUUGCUCAGGCUAUGUUUGUUCUUCUGUUCAACUUGUUGAAAUGUUAGAUGAGAGUAGGCUUAGGCCUGUGUGCUGUUGUUCCAGUUCAGUCACUACAGUUUGAACAUGUUGGGAAUGUCUGAACAUGACUUAGAAAAAUAGAUAAUCUCAGUCAUGAAAAAUAUAGCUGUUAGCUAGCUAGGAAAACAUACCACUAUAAAGGUGUCAUUGGUUCUUUUGGCAGCACUUACCCCUUUGUAGAAGAAGAUUGUAGGUUCAACACUCAACUAGGACUUUAGUGCAGACCUGAUGCUGACACUGCAAUGUAGUAGCAAAGAGGGGAGGAGCUGCAGCAUUAGAGGCAGUGCCCUUUGGAUGAGAGCCUUUUCUGCUUCUUUCUGUGGGUUGUCCAGCUGGAAAUUAAAGAUCUCCUAGCACUUCUUGAAAAGAGUACAUUAUAACCUUACUGCAAUGGGGUCUAGAUAGGUUAAUCUUAGUGCCCACAUAAUCCAUGGCAUAAUCACACACAAAACCAUACCAAAGAUAACAGGAUCAUAGUGGCAUAAUUACAACAGUCUAUAUAAUCAAAAUAUAGGUUAAAACAGAAAAUUACUUUUUGGUCUAACCCAUAGUUUACUUCUCCAUACACACAGAAAACUUCAACCACUGCAGCUCAUCCAAACCCAAACACACCAAUUCUGCCUCAGUUUCUAGGCCCAAAGCUAUUACACACCCAUCUCUCUGAGAAUCCUCUGAGCAGCCUUUCUUUCUGUCUCACCACCAACUUUGGGAGGGGAAGCUAGCUGCCUAAGUUUAUCUGUACAGCUACAUUCUCCAUUUUAGUUCAACAAUAUGGCACCUCAUGGAAGAGCAGAUGAACGGAUAACUAACACAAUCAAGGUGUCAAUUUUGGAAGGACUGAAUACUGACUAAUGAAAGGAGCUAGAGAAACUCAUUGCUACUAAUUCACUGCAAUCAUAAUUAUCACCCUAACAGAUACUGGAAGCUGCACCAGCUGUCCCAUGCAGUAGAACUCUGGAUUAGCUUCUCUGCUGUCAAUGACUUUUAAACUCACAUUGAAGUUGGGGAAAACAUCUUUUCCAGAGAAAUUGAGGGAGGAUUUGUUGAGAAGACCUAAUAUUAUGGCUAAAUG